UAUGUCAGUAGCAUACUAGCAUGUAGACCCAUCGGAGCGGAGAGAUCGCCCGGUUCUGAUCAUUGAGCGUGUUAGAAGAGCUGCGGCGGCGCGACAGGGACACGAACACGAAGGCGAUGGACCGAAUCCCGCGCUUGGUGAGAUCCAUCCCUCGGCCGCUUUCCACCGCCGUGCUGCCCCCGGCCUCUUCCCUGGACGCACGGUGGCGCCGCGCGCCCUUGGGUAACCAAGCUGGCGCCGUUAAGCGCGUCAACGGCGGUGGCGUCGUCGGCUGGCUUUGCGGUCGCGUUGGCCGUGUGAG
rnacentral:lncRNA from 1 species